AAGACCUUGCGCUUUUGGAGCGGCCGAUGCCUGAUUAGCUUGUUGGUAAGGUAAAAGCUUACCAAGGCUUCGAUCAGUAGCUGGUCUGAGAGGACGACCAGCCACACUGGGACUGAGACACGGCCCAGACUCCUACGGGAGGCAGCAGUGGGGAAUUUUGGACAAUGGGCGCAAGCCUGAUCCAGCCAUGCCGCGUGAGUGAAGAAGGCCUUCGGGUUGUAAAGCUCUUUCAGCCGGGAAGAAAAGGUUGCGACUAAUAAUCGCAAUCCAUGACGGUACCGAAAGAAGAAGCACCGGCUAACUACGUGCCAGCAGCCGCGGUAAUACGUAGGGUGCGAGCGUUAAUCGGAAUUACUGGGCGUAAAGGGUGCGCAGGUGGUUUUGUAAGUCAGAUGUGAAAUCCCCGGGCUUAACCUGGGAACU
rnacentral:rRNA from 1 species